rnacentral:rRNA from 1 species
UACGUAGGGGGCAAGCGUUGUCCGGAUUUAUUGGGCGUAAAGAGCUCGUAGGUGGUUCGGUAAGUCGGAUGUGAAAUCUCCAGGCUCAACCUGGAGGGGUCAUUCGAUACUGCCGUGACUAGAGUUCGGUAGGGGAGUGUGGAAUUCCUGGUGGAGCGGUGAAAUGCGUAGAUAUCGGGAGGAACACCUGUGGCGAAAGCGGCUCUCUGGACCACAACUGACGCUGAGGCGCGAAAGCUAGGGGAGCAAACAGG